GCACGUCUUGGCGCCGGGUUGCCAGCGGUGUCCGGCUAGCAGGGACCGCCGCGGGGGGUGCAACCGUUGUCCUGAGCCGUCCGCCGCGUCCCGGGUGAGCGGGCAUGCAUGGCUUCGUCCUUGGGGAGAGCGU
rnacentral:rRNA from 1 species